rnacentral:rRNA from 1 species
UACAGAGGUCUCAAGCGUUGUUCGGAUUCAUUGGGCGUAAAGGGUGCGUAGGCGGGUCUUUAAGUCAGGGGUGAAAUCCUGGAGCUCAACUCCAGAACUGCCUUUGAUACUGAGGAUCUUGAGUACGGGAGAGGUGAGUGGAACUGCGAGUGUAGAGGUGAAAUUCGUAGAUAUUCGCAAGAACACCAGUGGCGAAGGCGGCUCACUGGCCCGUUACUGACGCUGAGGCACGAAAGCGUGGGGAGCAAACAGG